AUCAUUUUAAAUCAUGGUGGCAAAAUGAUAUUUAUUUUCUAAUUGCAUGCCAAAAAGAUUCCUGUAUUAUUUCAAAUAUGGAUUCAUUAGCACCAAUGUACAAUUAAGUGUUAUACACGUAAAAACUGCCAACUAAACAACAGAUGAAACAUUUACCCAUAACCCAUUUUUGAAUAAAUUGCAUCAUGGGCCGAUAGAUUUGCUCUUGGACGAUCAUGAUCCACGUUCACUUGCAAGUACGUAGCUACGUCGAUUGUAUGCAAAAAAGAAAAAUGGAAGCGUUACGCGAGCAGGUUUCAGAAAAGAAAAAUAAAACAGGAAAGUUAAGGAGGAAGACUACUGCCUGAAGGAGACAAUGCAGAAAGCCUGGUGACAUAAGGAGCCCAACCAUGCUCUGUGCUCGUCUGAGUUGCGCUCAUGUUGAUAGGAUUUUCAAAAUGCCGUGGAACCCUGGGAGCAGAGCAGACCGGUGGAAAGGUAAUGACGCUGCAGCGCACAGUAAAAACCGUGGCACUCUUUGAUUCUGUUGUUUAAAAAAAAGAACAAAAGUUCACUCUCGUCCUUUCAAAAAAAUUUAAUUGCCCUUUUAUUUUUUCGGCCGCGGCUUAAGCAGAGAGCGAAGGGGGCCGGAGCGGACUUUAUUUUGGAAUUUAUGCCGCUGGAGUUUCCACAUAAAAAGCGAUCCGUCUCCAUUAACAGGGGAGCCGGGUUCAAACCCCGCCCGGCUGCCUCCAGCCGCCCCGCGCGUGCGGCGUUCUGUGGGAAGCUGCGCUCGGGGGCAUCUGGAUCCCAUUUCGGCGGAUCUUCGGGGCGCCUCUCGGAGCGCCGCGCUGCCCUCCUCACCCCGGCUCCCGCCCCGGCCGCGCCGACAUCCCCCUCCGAGAGGGGUGGCUUUGUCCCCGCCGCUCCGACCGGCGGGUUUGAUUCACCUGACUUCUUAAAAGCGUGACUCAGCGGCAGCGGCUGCUGCUCUCUUAGCUGCUGGAACACUCACACACUUUAAACAGUUGGGGGGGGUGGGGGGGGGAGGAUUUAAUAUCAGGUCCAUUAUAGACUUUCUGGAGAUUAGUAAAGAGUCAACGAGCGGACGAUUCUGAUUUGAUCCACAUGCGUCUGGCACUGUGGCUGUGUAUAGACACGAACCCCCCAAAGAUAAAAAAACAAAAAAACAAACAGUGCCCUGAGCCUGCCCGCCUGGCCUCCUGCACACCCCACCUGCCGCCGGUGAUGUCAUCUGUUUGCAAGCAAUGCGCUUUCACGCGAAUCGUAACCGGGGUAAUCAUUAGAUGAAGUCCUGGAGGGGGAGGGCGAUGGGGUUGUGUAGGUGGUUGUGCUCUUAACUGUGGCCUUGUGAUCUUUGAUCAAAGGGACGUUGGGCCUGCACUCAAUAGGCUCAGUGAAGCACAAUGUCACCAGGAGUUACUCACUGAACAGGCUGCCUCUCAGGAGCCAGGCAGGGCCCACAGUCAAAUGUAGCAACUGUUUGCUUAUGGAUUACAUGCCCUUUCUAAUUUAAGCUGCAGAAAUUGAUUUGGUUGUAAUAUGCAAAGUGCACAUUUUAUACCAAUUAAAUCCCCCCCCCCCCCCGUUUCUUGUGGUCUGUGGUCCACCAUCUGUGGAUUUCAGUUGCUGGCAGCAGUGUGCCUCUUGUUUGUCCCAUUGUAUGAAGCUGAUUCCACCAUUAAUACGUGUCUGUGAUCAUUUGUGAUCUGCUAUGAAAUGACAGUAUUCAGCUGUAAAUAAUAUACCAUGCAGGCUUUAGAAUACAUACCAAAGAACACGCUCAAGAAUAAAGCAGAAUUAUUCUUUGCAAAUGGCUCACAAGUCAGUCCAAAAAAGACCUAAGUGUGAGAAUAAAAUCAGUGGCAAUGGAUUCAUGCUCCACUCAGUUUUGUACUUAAGAGCCUGAUAUGGUGUUACCUGAUGACUGCAGAUGGCUUCAUUAUUGCAUCCGUCGUUCA